GGGAAUCUUCCACAAUGGACGAAAGUCUGAUGGAGCAACGCCGCGUGAGUGAAGAAGGGUUUCGGCUCGUAAAACUCUGUUGUUAAAGAAGAACAUAUCUGAGAGUAACUGUUCAGGUAUUGACGGUAUUUAACCAGAAAGCCACGGCUAACUACGUGCCAGCAGCCGCGGUAAUACGUAGGUGGCAAGCGUUGUCCGGAUUUAUUGGGCGUAAAGCGAGCGCAGGCGGUUUUUUAAGUCUGAUGUGAAAGCCUUCGGCUCAACCGAAGAAGUGCAUCGGAAACUGGGAAACUUGAGUGCAGAAGAGGACAGUGGAACUCCAUGUGUAGCGGUGAAAUGCGUAGAUAUAUGGAAGAACACCAGUGGCGAAGGCGGCUGUCUGGUCUGUAACUGACGCUGAGGCUCGAAAGUAUGGGUAGCAAACAGG
rnacentral:rRNA from 1 species